GGAACAGUGAGCCACAGACGGCUAAUCACGUCCGGAACCAAAAGCACCUGCCCUAUCUGCCUCUACAUUUGGCUCGCCAUGCCGAGAGUGGUUGCCAGAUCGUGGACAUGGUGCUUCAGAGGAAACCUGGCAACAAGCUGAAGAAGCAGCAGUAGAUGUGUGAGGUUGCCCAUUGAGUGCUUCGGACAGUGGAUGAUGACCGGUGUGACUACCAGGAUUUUUCCUCCCUCUGCAUCAUACUCAAAAAAAUGCUUGGUUUCUUGUAUUCUGUCACAGACAAACCUUAAUAUUUGUAAGAUAGAAAGCUAUGUAACAAAAAGACAAAUACACAGUUUGCAAAGCAAUGUUAAUAAACCGAA